GGGACAUUGGGUGCUGUCAGAGUCAUCCAGGAAAAGUUGAAGGCUACAGUGGAAGACUCUCUCCUUGUUUGUAGACAGUGACCUGAGUUCCACGCACUGCCCAGAGCCACCUUUGAAGAGGCUGCCCCGCCCGUAUGUAUAGCAGCUGCUGCCUCCUUGAAUUCCUGCCUCGGCUGCUUCUGCCGCUCCAGAGCAGACUGCAUUUCUCUCCAGGGCAAGAUGGAGGUGUCUCCCAACCAGUGGUUGCUGUAGCAGACGCCCUGGAACUGGAGAAAUUAGAAAGGAAGAUGUCUACUUAAGUCAUAGUUCUGGAAGCUGGAAAUUCGAGACUGGACAGCCGCAUGUUACUGGGUCAUGACUGUGGACAAGCGGGAAGAGGGGCUGACAGCAUCACCUGAGGAGGAGAGUGACAUCAGACUUCAUAUGCCACACCCACAGUUGGAGAUCUGCUGGUGAAAGUGCUCUUUAAAUAUGCUAGGGGUCCUGGGGAUUGAUCACCAAUCAUCAAUCAAGAAAAUUCACCACAGGCUUGUCUACCAGAUCUCAGGUGCCUUUACCCCAAGCCAUCGCACCAGCUAGAAAUGAAAGUUCUUAUGAUCAAAGCUUGUGGGCUGUGGUAGUAGGAGAGAAACGACUUCUGCAUGUUGUCUUUGGGUCUCAACAGGAACGGCAUGGCACAUAUACCCCCCUUUAAAUAAAUAAAUAGAAUAAUGAUAAUAAGAUCAAAGUUUGCUAAAGGAUAAAAGGCAUUGGCCAGGAAGCCUGUAACCCAGAGUAAGGUAGGGAACAGACAAAAUGGAGGGCUCAUAAUUUCACUUUAAUUAUGCUUUAAAUGGCUCUCUCUAGUCCGGUGAGUACCAAGCCUCUUAGUACCAACCAAACAACUCUACUUUGUCUCAGAGGGCCUGCUUUCCUUAUGGUACAUCUUCCCUUUGGCAUCCAUGAUGUGCUGGCUCACUCCAUGGCAACUUGACACAAGCCUAGAGUCAUUUGGAAAAAGGGAACCUCAACUGAAAAAAUGUUCCCGCUAAACUGCCUGUGGACAAGCCUGCGGUGCAUUUGCUUGAUGGAAGACUGAUCUGAAAGGGCCCAGUUCACCCCAGAAUCAUGCCACCCCAGGCUAGUGGCUGAGCAAGCCAUGGAGAGCAAGUCAGCAAAGGGAACUCCUUUAUGGCUCUGCUUCUCUUCCUCCCUCCAAGUUCCUGCUGAAACUUCCCUGUCAAUGGACCAUUUCCUGGAAGUGUAAGACGAAAUAAAUGUUUUCCUCUUCAAGUUACUUUUGGUUAUGGUGGGGCUUGUUGUUGUUAUUUUUGUUGUUUUGUUUUGUUUUGAUAGCAGUGGGGAAAUUGGUCCAGACCUGAGUACCCAAACCC